rnacentral:rRNA from 1 species
GACGAACGCUGGCGGCGUGCUUAACACAUGCCAGUCGAACGGAAAGGCCCUGCUUUUGUGGGGUGCUCGAGUGGCGAACGGGUGAGUAGCACGUGAGUAACCUGCCCUUGACUUUGGGAUAACUUCAGGAAACUGGGGCUAAUACCGGAUAGGAGCUCCUGCUGCAUGGUGGGGGUUGGAAAGUUUCGGCGGUUGGGGAUGGACUCGCGGCUUAUCAGCUUGUUGGUUGGGUAGUGGCUUACCAAGGCUUUGACGGGUAGCCGGCCUGAGAGGGUGACCGGCCACAUGGGGACUGAGAGACGGCCCAGACUGCUACGGGAGGCAGCAGUGGGGAAUAUUGUACAGUGGGAGGAAGCCUGAUACAGCAACGCCGCGUGCGGGAUGACGGCCUUCGGGUUGUAAACCGCUUUCGCCUGUGACGAAGCGUGAGUGACGGUAAUGGGUAAAGAAGCACCGGCUAACUACGUG